GCGGAAGUACCCAAGUGGUGAAGGGGCUCCCCUGCUAAGGGAGUAGGUCGUGUAAGAAGCGGCGCAAGGGUUCAAAUCCCUUCUUCCGCG
rnacentral:tRNA from 1 species